AAAUACAACUGGUGUUUAUGCACAAGUCCUGCUUUAUUUAUUUAUUUUAUUGUUUUCAUCAACAUCAAGUGGAGAAGCAGUAGAGAGAAAUCCAUUCCUAUGAAAACAUCCCCUGCUGCAUCCGGGACAUCCCUGUUCAUCCUCAUCUUUAUAUACCAACAUAUUGGCCAAAACAAACAACAGAUCUAUCCUGCGAAGAAGACAGGAGGAAAAUCCUUCAUGUUGCAGAUGAAGAAAGCGCGAUGGUAGCUUGCAACACAGGAAGGUGUGAAGACUACUGGAAAUGAUAAAUAUGGAGACUCCAACAAUCAUUUGGAUCCCUUUCUGAAGAUGAAUCUCUGCUUGCAUGGAACCACUGAAAGCUGAGAGAACAACUGACGGUCAUGGUCAGGGCAACUCUCUGGUGGAUACUCAAAGGUUCCCCAGUGGAAACGGGGUCCCAACAGCCUGACUGGGUAACCAGCAGAAAAAUCUCCACUUAUGCAUCAUCCCUGCCUGCACUCCUCAGUGAGGUGAGAGGUAACUCUCUCAGCAAUCUUCUGGUAUCCUCUGUCCCAGAGUGACCAGAGAUAACACUGUUAGAGCCCUCUGUUAAACCUCCAUUAAGAAUUGAGCCACAGGUUUGGACUUUUCCUCUCUGCUAGUAAGUUAGAAACUCCCCCUAAGCUUUUCUCCAACAUGUUGGGAGUUAACUUUAGAACUACCUUAUAGUUAGACUGCCCCUCCCUCCAGGAAGUCAGGCUGAGGCAGCUUACAACAACUGUUUGUCUUUCAGGGAGGAGAAAAGCUAUCAUCUAGUGAUUUACA